UAAAAUUUCAGAAAGGUCUUUCUAAUUUCUUUGGGGUCUUCAAUUAUCUUUUCUGCCUCUCUUAUCUUACAAAUUGUUUUUUGUUUUUGUCUAGCCUUUAAUUGCCACGCCAAGAAUUUUCCAGUUUUGUUGGCAGAUUCAAAAUUCCUUUGUCUCAUUGCUUUUGUUUUCCACUCUACAUCCUGACUCACCAACAUAGAGAACUGAGUCUGCAACAAUUUAAUAUUUUGUCUUAUUAGCUCAUCUUUUGGUUUUAUUGUGAGCAGUCUCUCAUUCUCCAUGAGAUGGGACAGGAUUUCUUCUUUCUUCUUCUCCCUUCUUCUUUUCUGAAAACUGUUCUUUUGGAUCAGGAAUCCUCUCAUUACAAAUUUGCUUGCAUCCCAUACUGUUUCAAUGGGUGUUCCUUUGUUUAAAUUCCACUUAUUCUGUAAUUGUCUCUUUUGCCCUAUAUACUAUCUUUUGGUCAUUGAAUAAACUUUCAUUCAUCCUCCAUCUGAAUGAUGAAGGGUCUUUUCCUUUUAACUCCAAAUAUAACGAAUUAUGUUCUGAUAAUGUCCUUGGGAGAAUCUCAAUUUUGGAAAUUCUUGGCACCAAUUCUUUAGAAGUCCAAAUGUAAUUUUUUCUACCAAAGCUUUGGUUUGGAUCUGAAAUGAAUGUGAACUGUUUUGUUGUGGGAUUUCUAAGUCUCCAAAUAUCUGUUAGCCCCAUAGUGUCUGAUAUAUCAAAAUAUGUUUUUGGUAGUUUACCUUCAUUUGUGUCUCGCCUUGUCGUUGAUCUAUCCAAAUCUGGAAUAACCACACCGUUGAAAUCCCCCAUUACUAUCACUCUCUGAUCCAAAAAUUCUGAUAAUGUUCCAUUGAGCUUCGAAUAAAAGUCGGCUUUUUUGUCAUUAGGUGCAUAGAUUCCCACAAUGAUUACCUUUCCCCCCCUGGAACGUAAUAUGCACUAUCAGCACUUUCCCCUCCUCAUCUUUAUAAAUUAAUUUUGGGUCAUAUUUCUCCUUUAUAUACAAUACAACCCCUCUUUUCUUGUUUGUGUCUGAGGCAAUAAAGUCUCUCCCCAAUCUUUUAUUACUUAAAACCCUCUUAUGCUUCCUUCUGACAUGUGUUUCCUGUAAACAGGUUAUAUCUAAAUUCCGUUUAAUCAAGACACGUUCGAUUUUGUUCCUUUUAUUUUUAUUUUUAAGUCCAUUCACAUUCCAUGAAAGUAUUUUUCAGAGCCUUUUUCUGGUUUGUUCAAGUCUUCUAUCAAGUCCAAAUCAAACUUGGGGGUCCUUGUUAUUAUUAUCCUCUUCUUCCUCUUCUCCCUCUUCUUCUUUCUCCUCUUCUUCCCCUUCCUCUUCUUCCCCUCUCCUUUUCUCGUCUUCAGACUGGUCCCAUCCUGGUCUUAUCUUCUCCACUUUUCCCAACUCUUUAUCAUAUCUUCUGGAGAAUUUUUCCAGAUCCUGAAGGCUACUUAGUUUGAACCUCUUGUCUUUGUAAUAGAAGGAAAUUCCUUCUGGAAAUUCCCAUCUAUACUGGAUUCCAUUUUUCUUUAACUGGCCAACUGGUUGGUGGCAGCGGAUUAGUGUUGUACGGGUCAAUAGUCCAUGAGAUGACUGGGGGCUCCGUACGAACGCCACAGUUGGCGCCAUAGAUUUCUGAUUGGGUUAAUGUUUGGGCUAUUCCCAAGCCAUUCCAGCAGUGCAAUAGGAUUAUCUUUAAAGCACCUUUUGCACACAGCAAUGACAUGGAACUGAAUCCUGUUGAAAUACGAAAGAAAGAAAGAAAGAAAGAAAGAAAGAAAGAAAGAAAGAAAGAUUUGUAUAAAUAUAUAUAGAAAUGCUUCAGUAUCUGGGAAAAGAUCACUUGUGGAACGCUUCAGUUUUCGCUCAACAUUCCCAUUAAUGAUUCAAAUUCUGCCCACACUUUUGCUGUCAUACAACCCCAGGUCAUCACACUACAGUGGAAGCUUUACUUACAACCAUAAUCCAUUCCGGAGGUCCGGUCAUAACCAGAAACGUACAUAAGUAGAGGCACCCUUUUCCAUAGAAAGUAAUGGAAAAGUGAAUUGAUCCAUUCUAGAUGAUGAAUAACACCCCCAAAACAGCAAUUUAACAUGGAUUUUACUCUCUAACAAGACCAUAGAUUCAUAAAAUGAAGGCAAUAAUCAAUGUACUGUACAAUAAAAUAAAUAAGACAGUAUUGUUGAUGAAAAAAAUUAACGUUUUUUUUCCCUUACGUGCACUGUGGAUGGGUGGGCUUAUCUGGCUACAAGCUGGUGGUAGAGCAAGGGUCAGUAAAGAGCUGAUUCACUUUGGCCAGGGUCAUGCUUUGUUCUUGCCAGGCCAGGUUCUUCUCUAGACUUCCUCAGGUUGGUUUCUCGGCAGGGUUUGGGGCUGCAGUGCGCCCUGCUAUGCCUCUUGCAGGCAGCACCUCUUCCACAGAUUCGAGGGUGGGAUGGGGGCCCUCUCCCCAGCAGCAGAGGCCUCAGCACUGCUCUGCAGCUGGCGGGGAGAGUUCCAGUAAACUGAAGGCCUCUCCCCGGUGUCAAAGGCUCCAUCACUGCCCUGCAGCCGGCCAGGCGAGCUCCGGGCUGCUGGCAAGACCUCUGUCUCUAGAGGAAAGUCGAAGCACCUACUGAAGGUCAUAACUGGAAUGGUACAAAAGUAGAGCCGUACGUACCUUAAGGAUCUACUGUUUCCAGGUGUUUCACAGUCUGUGUAAUGCAAGUAAGAUGUAAAUGUUCUCUGAUUCUCUGAUUCUUCUCCUUGCAUGUUUCAUGCCAUCACUACCAAGUAAGGAGAUUUGGGUCUCAUCGCUCCAAAUAACACUGUCCCAUUGUUCCACUGUCCAGUUAACAUGGGUUUAAUCUUUUCAAACUUUGCUUGAGAGAUAACAAUGGCUUUUUCCUUAUAAUUCUAACAUUUAGACCAGUCCUUGCACUCAACUUCACAUUACAUUGCGCCAUGUCAUCUUGUAUACACCCAGAUGAUUUUCUUCUGUCAUGUAGGGACAGUCUCUCCAUUCUUCAAUCGUCACUUGCCUUUGUGACCUUUUCCUGCCUUAACCAGUCUGAUUUUGUAGUGACUGAGUCUCCUUAUACCUCUUCAAAAAUAUAGAAAGGGCAGCUUUGGUUAAGUUUUUCCUAAUCUUUCAUCUAAUUUCUUCAUAACUGUAGCCUUGUUCACUUAAUAGUACAAUCUUAUAUCGCUUUCUGGGUGACCAGUCAACGCUUUGUGCCAUUUCUAUAAUUUUAUUAUGUUUUACAGCCUCACUAAAUGAAAGAACACAAAAAACCAACUAACUUGAUAGCAAUCACAAAACACACUGAAAAUGUCAACCUAAGCAAGUGGUGCCUCCUUUUUCUGGUUAUUUGGCUAUAACGUUUGAUAAAAUACAGGUAAUUGAAGAAACUUUGUUGGAUUGCUUUCUUGAUUAAAUUAUCUUUCCAUUUAUAUAUAAUUUUAUGAUAUUACUCCAAAAGAAGUGGUGUUUUGAGCCAUCAAACCUCUGAAAUACACUUUUUUCUAAAAGGCUUCCACAAUUUUGACCACUACGGUAUAUCAAAUAAAGCAACAUUCAACAACUCAUCAGAAUCUUAUAAUAAACAAACAACACAGGUAAUGAACACACACCCAAUUACUUUCAGUUCUUCUCCAUUUGUUCCUGAGGCUCUAAUCCCUUUUUGUUU